rnacentral:rRNA from 1 species
UGCAGUCGACGGAAAGGCCCUGCUUUUGUGGGGUGCUCGAGUGGCGAACGGGUGAGUAACACGUGAGUAACCUGCCCUUGACUUUGGGAUAACUUCAGGAAACUGGGGCUAAUACCGGAUAGGAGCUCCUGCUGCAUGGUGGGGGUUGGAAAGUUUCGGCGGUUGGGGAUGGACUCGCGGCUUAUCAGCUUGUUGGUGGGGUAGUGGCUUACCAAGGCUUUGACGGGUAGCCGGCCUGAGAGGGUGACCGGCCACAUUGGGACUGAGAUACGGCCCAGACUCCUACGGGAGGCAGCAGUGGGGAAUAUUGCACAAUGGGCGGAAGCCUGAUGCAGCAACGCCGCGUGCGGGAUGACGGCCUUCGGGUUGUAAACCGCUUUCGCCUGUGACGAAGCGUGAGUGACGGUAAUGGGUAAAGAAGCACCGGCUAACUACGUGCCAGCAGCCGCGGUGAUACGUAGGGUGCGAGCGUUGUCCGGAUUUAUUGGGCGUAAAGGGCUCGUAGGUGGUUGAUCGCGUCGGAAGUGUAAUCUUGGGGCUUAACCCUGAGCGUGCUUUCGAUACGGGUUGACUUGAGGAAGGUAGGGGAGAAUGGAAUUCCUGGUGGAGCGGUGGAAUGCGCAGAUAUCAGGAGGAACACCAGUGGCGAAGGCGGUUCUCUGGGCCUUUCCUGACGCUGAGGAGCGAAAGCGUGGGGAGCGAACAGGCUUAGAUACCCUGGUAGUCCACGCUGUAAACGGUGGGUACUAGGUGUGGGGGUCCAUUCCACGGGUUCCGUGCCGUAGCUAACGCUUUAAGUACCCCGCCUGGGGAGUACGGCCGCAAGGCUAAAACUCAAAAGAAAUUGAC